rnacentral:misc_RNA from 1 species
AAGUCGUAACAAGGUUUCCGUAGGUGAACCUGCGGAAGGAUCAUUAUCACAAAUGAUUUUUAACUCUCUUAAUCCAGAGUUAAACCUCUUCUUAAACCAAUCUAAUUAAAAUGUGAAACCGUUUUAUUUUAAGACUUGGCAACAAGUCUUAAAAUUAUUAACCAAUUGAACCCUUUUCUAAUUAAUGUUAUUUUAUUUAUUUAGUUCUGAAAUCUAUUAUAUAUCAAUAUGUAAUAAUAUUGACAUGUAAUAAGUUACAUUACGAAACAAUUUAAAUAAAACAACUCUUAGCAACGGAUAUCUUGGUUCUC